rnacentral:rRNA from 1 species
UACGAAUGGUGCAAGCGUUAAUCGGAAUUACUGGGCGUAAAGCGCGCGUAGGUGGUUUGUUAAGUUGGAUGUGAAAGCCCCGGGCUCAACCUGGGAACUGCAUCCAAAACUGGCAAGCUAGAGUAUGGCAGAGGGUGGUGGAAUUUCCUGUGUAGCGGUGACAGGCGGAGAUAUAGGAAGGAACACCAGUGGCGAAGGCGACCACCUGGGCUAAUACGGACACUGAGGUGCGAACGCGUGGGGAGCAAACAGUAUUAGAUACCCCUGGAGUCC